CCAAUCAUUUGAAAAUGCUAACACCACAUGAAGGAAGUGGAGAAUGCUCUUUAUUAAAGAUUAUGAUCUUAUACAUACAAGAAAACAAACUUGAAGUUUUUUAAAAAAAGAUGUUCUUUCAACAACUCAAUAUGAAGAUAUCUCAAGAGCCGCUAAUUUGGAGAAAGGUAAGAAGGUAUAUCAUAUAUUUCUUCAGAGUUACCGUCAAGUAAAGAUUUUGAGUAACUAGUAUGAAAGAUUAUUUAAACUUCUACGUUGUCUUUAUGAGGGGGAGACAAAAAUGUGAAAGAUUAUUUAAACUUCUUUGUUGUCGUU
rnacentral:lncRNA from 1 species